rfam:Nicotiana sylvestris Nsyl_contig323585, whole genome shotgun sequence.
AUUCAUUGGAUGAGUGUGAGGCGUUGGAUUGAUUUUAUUCAAUCCAAGCCCCACAUUCAUUAGGGUGUUCGU